rnacentral:rRNA from 1 species
CCUACGGGAGGCAGCAGUGAGGAAUAUUGGACAAUGGGCGCAAGCCUGAUCCAGCCAUGCCGCGUGCAGGAAGAAGCAUCUAUGGUGUGUAAACUGCUUUUGUACAGGAAGAAACACUCCCUCGUGAGGGAGCUUGACGGUACUGUAAGAAUAAGGACCGGCUAACUCCGUGCCAGCAGCCGCGGUAAUACGGAGGGUCCGAGCGUUAUCCGGAAUCAUUGGGUUUAAAGGGUCCGUAGGCGGUUUAAUAAGUCAGUGGUGAAAUCUGGUCGCUCAACGAUCAAACGGCCAUUGAUACUGUUAGACUUGAAUUAUAAGGAAGUAACUAGAAUAUGUAGUGUAGCGGUGAAAUGCUUAGAUAUUACAUGGAAUACCAAUUGCGAAGGCAGGUUACUACUUAUGGAUUGACGCUGAUGGACGAAAGCGUGGGGAGCGAACAGGAUUAGAUACCCUGGUAGUCCACGCCGUAAACGAUGGAUACUAGCUGUUCGGAGNAUCUGAGUGNGUAGACGAAGUAGAGUAAGUAUACCUACCGUCGGGUAGGUACGUUCGUCGAAGAAGAGAACGUAACGAAAGGAAAGUUAGUACGGCGUGAGACGUAGACCGAACGGACGACGACGGAGGGGAGGAGG